CACGUAGGGCGCAAGCGUUGUCCGGAAUUAUUGGGCGUAAAGAGCUCGUAGGCGGUCUGUUACGUCUGCUGUGAAAACCCGGGGCUUAACCCUGGGCUUGCAGUGGAUACGGGCAGACUAGAGGCAGGUAGGGGAGAAUGGAAUUCCCGGUGUAGCAGUGAAAUGCGUAGAGAUCAUGAGGAAGACCAGUGGCGAAGGCGGGUCUCUGGACAGUUCCUGACGCUGAGGCACGAAGGUCAGGGGAGCAAACGGG
rnacentral:rRNA from 1 species